UGGGGAAUAUUGGACAAUGGGGGCAACCCUGAUCCAGCAAUGCCGCGUGUGUGAAGAAGGUCUUCGGAUUGUAAAGCACUUUCGACGGGGACGAUGAUGACGGUACCCGUAGAAGAAGCCCCGGCUAACUUCGUGCCAGCAGCCGCGGUAAUACGAAGGGGGCUAGCGUUGCUCGGAAUGACUGGGCGUAAAGGGCGUGUAGGCGGUUUACACAGUCAGAUGUGAAAUCCCCGGGCUUAACCUGGAGCUGCAUUUGAUACGUGUAGACUAGAGUGUGAGAGAGGGUUGUGGAAUUCCCAGUGUAGAGGUGAAAUUCGUAGAU
rnacentral:rRNA from 1 species